CCGAGUUCGGGGCCUUCGGCGCAGGCGCCCCGCUGCCCCAACGCACUGUGCCCAGCUUCGCGCAUGCGCUUUGGCCGCGGCUCGCGGGCAGCUCCAGGGACGGAAAGGAUACAGACGACUCACCCACCGCGGGACCAGCGCCAGCGGGAGCCAGAGGCAGUCCGAGGCCCGGGCGGCAGUGCCAGGCGGCUAGCAGGCAACAGACAAGCGCCCCCAAACGCGCCAUCGCGAGUUCCAGCCACGGGUCUGGGAGACUCUUGCUGGAACUUCCCAGGUGGCCGAGUUGGUAAAGAAUUCGCCUGCCAGUGCAGGAGUCACAAGAGAUGCAGGUUUGAUCCCUGGGUCGGGAAGACCCCCUGGAAAAGGAAAUGCAGUGCACUCCAGUAUUCUUGCCUGGGAAAUCCCAUGGACAGAGGAGCCUGGUGGGCUGCAGUCCACAGGCUGGCAAAGAGCCAGACAGGACUGAGCUAUUGAGCAUACAGGCAUGGCCUGCCAGGGCUGUUCAAGUCUGCCAUGGCUUUAGGAUGAUUCAAAAGCCUUUGGACAACCAGAAUGCUUUCUAAUUGUGGAAAAAACGGUCUUGGAAAACAACCUUAAGGACAGUAAAAAUAACUUACAUGUUUCUAGGACCAACACUUUGAAAGACAGAAAAAAACUUUUAAAAUUCGUAAAAAUAGUGAUUCUCACUUUUUCUUUUGCCAGUUUUCUUGUGUGUGUGUUUAUGAGAAAAGAAUUGAAUUUUUACUUCACAUCACAUGCAAAGUUCCGAAAAAGAUCGAGAGAGAAAAAUAAAACUUUAAAACAUGAGCAUACCUUUAACCUACAGGCUAAAAAAGAAUUUCUUACAUUAAAAGCACAUCAAGGGGUUUCCCUGGUGGUCCAGAGGCUGAGACCUCACACUCCUAAUGCAAGGUGCCCAGGUUCAAACCCUGGUCAGGGAACUAUACCCCACAUGCUGUCUUUUACUGAUGUUCAGUCAGUUUUACUGGAAGUAAACUGAUUGUGAAAUAAUUCUUCAGUCAGUAAGCAUGAAAUAUGGCAUACACAUUUUGAAACUUAAGCAAUGCUUCCAUUUUUAAAAGGUACUAUAUUGAGUUAAUGGGUAGAAACACUGUCCUCCCUUCAACUCUUUCCGCUCUCUUUUGUUUUCCUUUAUACCUUGUCUCUGAGGCGCACAAAGCUACAAUGCCUUAACAUCUCUGGGUGUACAGCUCACGCCUUGCAUGUAUUUGUAGGUCUCCAUGUUCUAAAGGUCUGUCUAGUCAAAGUUAGGGCUUUUCCAGUAGUCAUGUCUGGGUGUGAGAGUUGGACUAUAAAGAAAGCUGAGUGCAGAAGAAUUGAUGCUUUUGAACUGUGGUGUUGGAGAAGAGUCUUGAGAGUUGCUUGGACAGCAAGGAGGUCCAACCAGUCCAUCCUAAAGGAGACCAGUCCUGAAUAUUCAUUGGAAGGACUGAUGCUGAAGCUGAAACUCCAAUACUUUGGCGAAGUAUUGAUGCAAAUACCUGAUGCAAAGAACUGAUUCAUUUGAAAAGACCCUGAUGCUGGAAAGGAUUGAAGGCAGGAGGAGAAGGAGAUGACAGAGGAUGAGAUGGUUGGAUGGCAUCACUGGUUCAGUGGACAUGAGUUUGAGUAAACUCUGGGAGUUGGUGAUGGACAGGGAGGCCUGGUGUGCUGCAGUCCAUGGGGUCACAUAGAGUCUGACAUGACGGAGCAACUGAACUGAACUGAACUGAUGUUCUGAUGUGGGGCUUCCCUGGUGGCUCAGAUGGUAAAGAAUCUGCCUGCAAUGCAAGAGACCCAGGUCAAUCCCUAGGUCAGGAAGAACCCCUGGAGAAGUUGGCAACCCACUCCAGUAUUCUUGCCUGAAGAAUUCCAUGAACAGAGGAGCCUGGCAGUCUGUAGUCCAUGGGGUCACAAAAGAGUUGGAUACAACUGAAAUCACCUUGCUGUUUCACUGGGGUUCCUGUAGCCUCCUUGAGCAACCUGUCAGGAAAGAAGAGAAACCUCAAGGGUAGUAGGCUUAGACCAAGUUCCUUGUGUUCUCUGUUCAUCCUGACUUUAACAUUACUGGAUCCCAGAGGAAGAGGAAAGAUGGAGGCUCCCAUGCCACUAAAUAUAGGUCCUGUCUCCCUGCCUUGACAAAUACAUCUUCACAAUGACUCCCUGCCCUGACAAAUAUACCUUCAAGAUCCAAAGACAUACGUGACUGUGUGAGUUCCUAAGGAUGAAAAUUAGCAAAAUAAUGAAGACAAAAGAAUUUUUGUUACUGUACGUCUGAUUGCACUGUUAGUGAGCUAUCUCAAUGGAUGGAUGACUAAUAAUGAAAAGCAAAAUGUAUAAAUUAUACAAUUAUUCAAAAUGAAUUUUCUUAUCUUCAUUUAAGCAAAAUAAUUGUAUUGCAGUUAACAAGAUUUUUCACUUAUUUUGUGUUCUAUUGGUAGCAGUUAUUCUAGAUGAUUAAAAGACAGCAUGUACUUAUAUUCAAAGUGUACAAAGACGGAAUAUAGUUUUUUUAAAGUAAAGCAAAAUUAGAUAAAACCAAGGUUUUACUGUAUAGCACGGG